ensembl:lncRNA
UUUGUGGAGUGCACCGGAGUCGUCAAUUAAAAAAUGUCGAACAGAUCGCAUCAAGCCGACACCCGAAAUAUGCGUUAUCCCAGCACACCUAUCUGAGCUGCAAAGGCCACUGAGAGCCCAGAGGAGCAACAAGAAGAUCCAGGAGGACCUCCCACCUGUCAGUCAGAUCAACACUGUUGAUCUACACAACACACAUUUCACAUGACAACAUACACAAGAUUCUCUCUUGCGCCGUCUCGCCCUCUCAGACCUGCGAACGUUCGCUCCACCUGGACAGCCACAACGUGUGACUUCAUCUCCUAAUAUCUGACAGGAGCCAUGGUCAUAAAGAGAACACAGAGCAGCGUCCGGUGACAGUCACUGUACUGCCCCAGCCGGGCUGGGAAAGACGCCAGCAUCACAGACUUGCGGGUUAGUGAGGGCUUCGCUCUGAAAGAGGAGGCCACGG